AUACGGUCCAGACUCCUACGGGAGGCAGCAGUGGGGAAUAUUGGGCAAUGGGGGAAACCCUGACCCAGCGACGCCGCGUGAGGGAAGAAGGCCUUAGGGUCGUAAACCUCUGUUGUGUGGGAAGAAGAGCGUGACGGUACCACACGAGGAAGUCCCGGCUAACUACGUGCCAGCAGCCGCGGUAAUACGUAGGGGACGAGCGUUGUCCGGAUUUACUGGGCGUAAAGGGCGCGUAGGCGGUCAUUUAAGUCAGCUGUGAAAUGGUUUGGCUUAACCGGAUCAUGCGGUUGAAACUGGAUGACUGGAGUGCUGGAGAGGCAAGUGGAAUUCCCAGUGUAGCGGUGAAAUGCGUAGAUAGUGGGAAGAACACCGGUGGCGAAGGCGACUUGCUGGCCAGCAACUGACGCUGAGGCGCGAAAGCCAGGGGAGCAAACGGGAUUAGAUACCCCGGUAGUCCUGGCCGUAAACGUUGAAUGCUAGGUGUGGGCAUCGAGAGGUGUCCGUGCCGUAGCUAACGCGAUAA
rnacentral:rRNA from 1 species